ensembl:lncRNA
UUGUGUUUGAUGGUGUGUGGUGGUGUUUGACGGUAUGAGGUGGCGUAUGAUUGUGUUUGACGGUAUGAGGUGGCGUAUGAUUGUGUUUGAUGGUAUGAGGUGGCGUAUGAUUGUGUUUGAUGGUAUGAGGUGGCGUAUGAUUGUGUUUGAUUGUGUGAGGUGGCGUAUGAUUGUGUUUGAUGGUGUGUGGUGGUGUUUGAUGGUAUGAGGUGGCGUAUGAUUGUGUUUGAUGGUAUGAGGUGGCGUAUGAUUGUGUUUGAUGGUGUGUGGUGGUGGUGUUUGUGCUGAAAUGUGUUACUCACGGUAAAAAAAAGGAACAAACUCGACGGUUAGAGGAGCCGCUUUAAACUUCUGUCUGCUCUUCUCCACGGUGCUGAUCUGCUGCCUACACACACACACAACACCACACACACACACACAGUAUUAUGAGACAAUCAACA